GGAAUCAUUGGGUUUAAAGGGUCCGUAGGUGGAUAAUUAAGUCAGAGGUGAAAUCUUGCAGCUCAACUGUAAAAUUGCCUUUGAUACUGGUUAUCUUGAGUUAUUAUGAAGUAGUUAGAAUAUGUAGUGUAGCGGUGAAAUGCAUAGAUAUUACAUAGAAUACCAAUUGCGAAGGCAGAUUACUAAUAAUCAACUGACACUGAUGGACGAAAGCGUGGGUAGCGAACAGGAUUAGAUACCCUGGUAGUCCACGCCGUAAACGAUGGUUACUAGCUGUUUGGACCUUGUGUCUGAGUGGCUAAGCGAAAGUGAUAAGUAACCCACCUGGGGAGUACGUUCGCAAGAAUGAAACUCAAAGGAAUUGACGGGGGCCCGCACAAGCGGUGGAGCAUGUGGUUUAAUUCGAAGCAACGCGCAGAACCUUACCAACCCUUGACAUCCUGUGCUAUAUUUAGAGAUAGAUAGUUCCCUUCGGGGACGCAGUGACAGGUGCUGCAUGGCU
rnacentral:rRNA from 1 species